GGGGAAUUUUGGACAAUGGGCGCAAGCCUGAUCCAGCAAUGCCGCGUGAGUGAAGAAGGCCUUCGGGUUGUAAAGCUCUUUUGUCAGGGAAGAAACGGCGGAGGUUAAUACCUUCUGCUAAUGACGGUACCUGAAGAAUAAGCACCGGCUAACUACGUGCCAGCAGCCGCGGUAAUACGUAGGUGGCAAGCGUUAUCCGGAUUUACUGGGCGUAAAGGGUGUGCAGGCGGGAUGGCAAGUGGUGUAUGAAAUCUCCCGGCUUAACCGGGCGGGGUUAUGCCAGACUGCCAUUCUAGAGGACGAGAGAGGGGCGUGGAAUUCCGGGUGUAGUGGUGAAAUGCGUAGAGAUCCGGAGGAACCCCAGAGGCGAAGGCGACGCCCUGGCUCGUACCUGACGCUCAGCCACGAAAGCAUGGGGAGCGAAC
rnacentral:rRNA from 1 species